rnacentral:lncRNA from 1 species
CUUCCUUGGAAAUCAUUGACUAGCAUCAUUGAAUAUUAUUACAUGUGGAAAACUACUGACAGAUAUGUGCAACAGAAACGUCUAAAAGCAGCAGAAGCUGAGAGUAAACUGAAACAAGUAUAUAUCCCAACCUACUACACAGUCUCACCAGUGGUAUUCUUGGGGCCCACCUAAUAUGCAGUGUAGAUUAUGUGCAAUUUGUUGGCUUUAUUGGAAAAAAUAUGGAGGCUUGAAAAUGCCCACCCAGUCAGAAGAAGAGAAGUUAUCUCCUAGCCCAACUACAGAGGACCCUCGUGUUAGAAGUCACGUGUCCCGCCAGGCCAUGCAGGGAAUGCCAGUCCGAAACACUGGGAGUCCAAAGUCUGCAGUGAAGACCCGCCAAGCUUUCUUCCUUCAUACUACAUAUUUCACAAAAUUUGCUCGUCAGGUCUGCAAAAAUACCCUCCGGCUGCGGCAGGCAGCAAGACGGCCGUUUGUUGCUAUUAAUUAUGCUGCCAUUAGGGCAGAAUGUAAGAUGCUUUUAAAUUCUUAACCUUAUAUGUUGUGCUUCUGACCAUUUUCUCUUUUCCUCUCUUUCCUUUUUUUUUUGUUUGUUUGUUUGCAAUAAACAUAAGUUCUUGUGUA